GCACGUCGCCCGCGAGGGGGGUGGCGGGCCCAGGAGGAGGGGACCCCGACAGCCCCUCACCGCCUGCCGGGGCGGGCCGCCACGCUGGACGGGGGCAGCGCGGGGCGGGGUCGGGGGGCGGCAGAAGGCGCCUUUGUGCGUCGCGUCCCCGAGCGUGUCGCGGCGGGCCCGGCACCGGCCCCGCUCCAGCGCCCGCCCCCGGCCCGCGCCCCGGGCCCCGCGCGCAUACCUGGCGAGGCCACGAGGGGAUUCUGCGGGCCGAGCCCCGCCUGGGCUGCGCCGCCGCAGGCGGGAGAGGCUGAGGAUUCUUUUGGGAAGCCCCUCCGCCGGCUGUAACCCCAGGGCCGUGCCACCCUCCUGAUCACCGCAAGCAUGGACCCCCCAGCACGCUGCGGGUGGGACAGGCAGGGCCCCUGUGGGGUGGCUUGACUGGCCUGGAGUUGGGGACGAAGUCCCCGGGCUUGGUCCCCCGAGGGCUUGGUUGGGCGUCCCGGGCUGUUGUCCACACCAAGGGUGGCCUACAGAGGGAAGUGAGGACCUUGGGACUUCCUCCAGGACAGCCCUCGCUGUCCAAAUCUCCACCUGCUGCAGAGCUGCCUCCAGUCAAGCCCUUGUUUCCAGCUUUCUGUGCCCUAAAUAAACUUCUGCUGGGAUUGAGCCAUCAGCAUUCUGUGGUGGGCGUCGCUGCUGCGAGGUUGCCCUCGUGCACACAAGCUCCUCACAGGACUUCCAGGAUGAUAUGGAAGAGUGACUGAGAGCAGCCGCCCGGUGCUUCCCAACCUUAGAGGGAGGUCACGGGCAGUCUCCCUGCGAUGCUGGCCACAGGUGUGAGGAAGACAGUCCUUAUAGGAAAAUGCCCUCUCGUUCUUAUUCUCUACUUUAAAAAAUCUUUAAAUCAUGAGUAUAAUAAAUGUUAGGUCUCGCUGUGUCGCCCAGGCUGGAGGGCAGUGGUGUGAUCUGGACUCACUGCAGCCUCGACCUGUUGGGCUCAAGUGAUCCUCUCACGUCAGCCUCCAAGUAGCCAAGACCACAGGCAGGCGUCACCAUGCCCAGCCCCCAUGAUGACUUUACUUUUCUUCUUGAACCUGGUGAAUUUCUGUGUUAACAUGUCUGAUUUGAACCCUUCUGAUAUUCCUGAGAUAAACUUUAUGUGACCUUGGUAUUCUGUUGGAUUUUGGUUAGCUGAUACUUCAAGAUUUUUAUAAAACUGGGUUGCAAUUUAUUUGUGUUCCCGUUUCUAGCUGUCUAUGAGCUUCAUCAAAUGGGCAGGACCACUUUCCCUUAACUUCUCCUUUUCUGGAACAACGGACAUAUCCUGUGGAUUAUCUGUUCCCCACAGAGUCCUGGAAGUUAAAUGCUCUAUUUCCCAGCCUCCCUUGCAGCUAGGAGCAGUCAUGUGACUCCAUUCUGGCCAACGAGAUACAAGAAACACUUGCUGACAGGUGCAAUCAGAAAGCGUUUGCUUUUCCAGUAACAUGUAGGACCAGUCACCUUUUUGCAUUUCCCCUUUCUUCUUGAUUCGAACAUUGCAUUGCCGUCAUGUUUGGAGAUGAGUCAGCCAUCUUGCAAAUAGGAGGCAGCAAGACUGAGGGAAAUGCCAUCCUGCUUCAGAGGGCAGAAUGGAAAGAGAAGCCUAAGAUGGCAAUGGUACGGUUGGGCAGCUGAGUCAGGACUGGGGCCACUGCCUCUCGGUUUCAAGGGAGAAAAAUAAACCCCUGUUUGUUGGCCUCAUGCUAGGUUGGAUUUUCUUUUACUUAAAGCCAAGACAUUUCUAACAUACAAAACCAGACACAUGUGCAUGCCACACGUACAUCACAAGUGAUCACAUGCUGUCCGACUAGCACCUCGAUUUUUCCACUGAACCAUCAGUCUUGCAGAUCAUCCUUUAUCAGUGCCUGGCAACUUGUCUUGCCCUUGUUUUCUUGGGUUUUUGUUUUUGUUUUUGUUUAAGACAAGGUCUCAUCUGUUGCCCAGGCUGGAGUGCAUUGGCACAAUCAUAGCUCACUACAGCCUGGACCUUCUGGGCUCAGCAGUCCUCCGUCCUCAGCCUCCCGAGUAGCUGGUACUAAAGGCAUGUGCCACCAUGCCCGG
rnacentral:lncRNA from 10 species